UACGUAGGGGGCAAGCGUUGUCCGGAUUUACUGGGCGUAAAGAGCGCGUAGGCGGAAGGUGAAGCGUGGCCUGAAAGCCCCCGGCUCAACCGGGGAGGGCGGCUGCGAACUGGCCUUCUUGAGGGCGAUAGAGGGGGGCGGAAUUCCUGGUGUAGCGGUGAAAUGCGUAGAGAUCAGGAGGAACACCGGUGGCGAAGGCGGGUCUCUGGGCCGAUACUGACGCUGAGGAGCGAAAGCGUGGGGAGCGAACAGG
rnacentral:rRNA from 1 species